rnacentral:tRNA from 1 species
ACCUGGCUGGCUCAGUUGGUAGAGCAUGUGACUUUUAAUCUCGGGGUGGUGAGUUCAAGCCCCACAUUGGGUA